AUUGUCAUACAUAUGUGUUGAAUAAAAGGAACUGUUAUUAAUAGGUCUUUAAUAAUAUGUUGGUGAGGUGUAGGGGAGGCCAGGUGUUCUAUACCCCUAUAAUAAUGUCUCAGUCUUUUAGAGAUCAUGUGCCUCUGACUGGGGGACUUCACAAGAGUUCCUCAUUUUUUUUCUCCCCCAUCAGUGCAACAGGAGUUGAGUAUUUCCCUUUCUCAGCAGGUCAGGCUCUGUUUAACUAGUUUCUCCUGAGAGCAGGCCUUGUUAAGAAGAACUGAGUCCUCUGGAGGGUCUUAAAUUAUUCCUUUUCCCCUCCCCCUGCAAAGCAGGUUGGGAUUUUUCUCUGGUAUUUACUGUGGGAACCUGGUAGCACUCCUGGAGGUAAAUCUUACAGUAUUUUGCCCCUCUCCGCACCCCAGGACUGGUUCCCUAGGAGUUUUUAACUCUCAGAGUUUCCUGAACUGAGCCUCCAGCAGUUCAUCACCUAUAGUCAAGGCUUUCCCACCCCAGCAUUGGUUCCAGUGGUGAUUUCGGCUAGAAGUCUAUGCUCUGUUAGUGAGUUAGGCAGUCUUUGCGGAUUCUGUGAUCUCAGCUAAGGCUACCUGGUGUUGGAAAGUAAUAUCCAACAAUAAAAAGGACUGCUGGGAGCUGAGAAAGUACUUUCCAAAUUGCACUGACGUCUGGUAAUAAAUAUUUUGGAAGUUCAGAGGACCCUGUUUAAUGAUGGCUGAAUGGUUCCAGAGGGGGGUAUGUGACAUUGUCAGGAUUUGGUCUUUUUCUCUCUCAUGGGAUCUGAUUUCUUCUGGGAUAUCCUGACUCUGAUGUAACUUGUCUCCAUAUGGUAGUUUUUCACAGAUCUGGAAUUAUAUACACAAACCCCUAUGUGUAGUUCAUAUAUAGCAUAUAAAGGGGGCACCUUUUCAGUUGCCAGAAUAGUUAGAGUAUGUGAUCAUUCCUAAACUAACCACUGUGCCUGAGGGAUGUGAUACUCUCCUCUAUGAUAAAGCCUAUAUAAGAUAAUUGUUCUCCAUGGUGAAUGUCAGAGGAUAUAGCCCUUUAUUUGAUAAUUGUACAUGAGAGUAAUUACAUUAUUAUUUGUAUCCAAUUAAAACAAGUUUAUUUUUCAAGUAAUUAUCAUAAAUCAUGAUAUUUUGUCAUUACCUGUCUGCUUCCUUUUCUCAGUUUUUAUCUGAGGAAAGGAAAAAACUUUUAUCAUGGAAAAUUUCAAAUGUAUACCAAAGUAGGCAAGCAGUGUAAUAAACCCUCUUCUAUGAUUUCCCAGAUUUAACAAUGAUCAAUUACAGUCCAUCUAGUUUCAUUCUCAUCCUCUUACUCAUUCAAUUGAAUACAUAUUUAGGUUUAUUUAUUUUAUUUUUAAUUGAAGAGAUUGAUCUAUAAUUUUGAUAUUGUUAAAAUUGUUUGGUGGAAAUAUUUUUAUAGUUCCUAACUCAAAUCUUAAAAAGAUAUAUAGUCAAAGAGCUCAAACUUCUUUCCCUGUUCCCUUCACUCUGUUCUGUUUCUUUUAUAUAGCCACUAAAAUAAGUUAUAAUCUAUUCUUCUGUUGUUUUAUACUAACACGUUUAUAUGAUAUUCUAAGUUCCUUUUUUAACUUAUUUUCUGUUGAUUCCCUGCUAUUAGCAGGCUUAGAAUAAUUGGUAACCCCUUCUUCCCAUCCAUUCUUUCUCUACUGGAUUCUGAACUGAAAUAAUGUUCCUUUAUCUUAGAUAGGAGCUAUAAGGCAUUUAACAAGUCUAUUUUAUUUUUAUAUUUUCUCUUUUAUUUCCCCACUUUUGAUUGUUAUAUUUUACCUAUAUUAUCAGAGUACACUACUAUUAUAUACUAUAUUCUUUUCCUUAUAACUAUCAUUCAGUUUUAAUUCUACAGAUAAAUAAUGUUUAGAGGUCACCAUAGUGCCUGCAUCUUUUCUUUCUCUUUUGAACCCUCAUUUUUAUUUUAUGUAAUUUCCAGGAUUUAUAAUCUCACUUAGCAAGAGGAAUAGGAAAAAGCAUGACUACUUCAU